UACAGAGGUCCCAAGCGUUGUUCGGAUUCACUGGGCGUAAAGGGUGCGUAGGCGGUCGUGUAAGUCUGAUGUGAAAUCUCACAGCUUAACUGUGAAACUGCAUUGGAUACUAUUCGGCUUGAGAGUUGGAGGGGGGACUGGAAUUCUUGGUGUAGCAGUGAAAUGCGUAGAUAUCAAGAGGAACACCAGUGGCGAAGGCGAGUCCCUGGACAACUUCUGACGCUGAGGCACGAAAGCUAGGGUAGCGAACGGG
rnacentral:rRNA from 1 species